AUUGAACGCUGGCGGCAGGCCUAACACAUGCAAGUCGAGCGGGGUUUUCGGACCUAGCGGCGGACGGGUGAGUAAUGCGUAGGAAGCUACCCGAUAGAGGGGGAUACCAGUUGGAAACGACUGUUAAUACCGCAUAAUGUCUACGGACCAAAGUGUGGGACCUUCGGGCCACAUGCUAUCGGAUGCGCCUACGUGGGAUUAGCUAGUUGGUGGGGUAAUGGCUCACCAAGGCGACGAUCCCUAGCUGGUUUGAGAGGAUGAUCAGCCACACUGGUACUGAGACACGGUCCAGACUCCUACGGGAGGCAGCAGGGGGGAAUAUUGGACAAUGGGCGCAAGCCUGAUCCAGCCAUGCCGCGUGUGUGAAGAAGGCCUUCGGGUUGUAAAGUACUUUCAGCGGGGAGGAAGGUGUUGAGGUUAAUAACCUCAGCAAUUGACGUUACCCGCAGAAGAAGCACCGGCUAACUCCGUGCCAGCCGCCGCCGUAACAC
rnacentral:rRNA from 1 species